AUUGAACGCUGGCGGCAGGCCUAACACAUGCAAGUCGGACGGUAGCACAGAGGAGCUUGCUCUUCGGGUGACGAGUGGCGGACGGGUGAGUAAUGUCUGGGAAACUGCCCGAUGGAGGGGGAUAACUACUGGAAACGGUAGCUAAUACCGCAUAACGUCGCAAGACCAAAGUGGGGGACCUUCGGGCCUCACACCAUCGGAUGUGCCUAGAUGGGAUUAGCUGGUAGGCGGGGUAACGGCCCACCUAGGCGACGAUCCCUAGCUGGUCUGAGAGGAUGACCAGCCACACUGGAACUGAGACACGGUCCAGACUCCUACGAGAGGCAGCAGUGGGGAAUAUUGCACAAUGGGCGCAAGCCUGAUGCAGCCAUGCCGCGUGUAUGAAGAAGGCCUUUGGGUUGUAAGGUACUUUCAGCGGGGAGGAAGGUGCUGAGGUUAAUAAGCUCAGCAAUUGACGUUACCCGCAGAAGAAGCACCGGCUAACUCCGUGCCAGCCGCCGCGGUAA
rnacentral:rRNA from 1 species